AAGGUCGAGGUUGUCUUUAGCUCUAUGAAAUAUUGAUCUCCGGAUCGAAGUUAUCUUGAAAUUAUAUUACAGAUCACCCCAAAUCUAAUUCUCCAGAUUAAUAGAUCCCCAAGAGGCAUAAAUGAAGAUAAAAUCUCCUAAAUACCUAUCUACAGUUCAAAGUUAUCUCUCAAGCUCUAUAAAAUAUCGAUCUGAAGGUCGAAGUUAUCUUUCAGUUCUAUAAAAUAUCGAUAUGAAGAUU
rnacentral:lncRNA from 1 species